GAAAUGCGAUAAGUAAUGUGAAUUGCAGAAUUCAGUGAAUCAUCGAAUCUUUGAACGCACAUUGCGCCCGCCAGUAUUCUGGCGGGCAUGCCUGUUCGAGCGUCAUUUCAACCAUCAAGCCCCCUGGCUUGUGUUGGGGACCUGCGGCUGCCGCAGGCCCUGAAAAGCAGUGGCGGGCUCGCUGUCACACCGAGCGUAGUAGCAUACAUCUCGCUCUGGGCGUGCUGCGGGUUCCGGCCGUUAAACCACCUUCGUAACCCAAGGUUGACCUCGGAUCAGGUAGGAAGACCCGCUGAACUUAAGC
rnacentral:misc_RNA from 1 species